UACGAAGGUCCCAAGCGUUUAUCCGGAUUUAUUGGGUUUAAAGGGUGCGUAGGCGGGUUAUUAAGUCAGUGGUGAAAGCCUUCAGCUUAACUGAAGAACUGCCAUUGAUACUGAUGAUCUUGAGUAUGAUUGAGGUGGGCGGAAUGUGUCAUGUAGCGGUGAAAUGCUUAGAUAUGACACAGAACACCGAUUGCGAAGGCAGCUCACUAAGCCAUAACUGACGCUGAUGCACGAAAAGCGUGGGGGAGCAAACAGG
rnacentral:rRNA from 1 species